AAUAUUGGACAAUGGAGGCAACUCUGAUCCAGCCAUGCCGCGUGAAGGACGAAGGCCCUAUGGGUAGUAAACUUCUUUUGUCAGGGAGCAAUAAGGGCCACGCGUGGUCCGACGAGAGUACCUGGUGAAUAAGCAUCGGCUAACUACGUGCCAGCAGCCGCGGUAAACCGGAGGAUGCAAGCGUUAUCCGGAUUUAUUGGGUUUAAAGGGUGCGUAGGCUGUUUGUCAAGUAAGGGGUGAAAUACCUGAGCCUAACUCAGGAACUGCCUUUGAUACUGGCAGGCUGGAAUACGGAUGCCGUGGGAGGAAUGAGUAGUGUAGCGGUGAAAUGCAUAGAUACUACUCAGAACACCGAUUGCGAAGGCAUCUCACGAAUCCGUCAUUGACGCUGAGGCACGAAAGCGUGGGGAUCAAAC
rnacentral:rRNA from 1 species